UUUGGACACGUCAAACUUUCUUAAUGAUGUGUAAUUGAUUCUAUGACAUGUGUUUACAUUUGCUGCAGAUUCCCAUUCAGCCAUUGGACUGAACCGGUACCAAGACCGGAACUGUAACACAGUAAGGAUGGUCAAUAUGAAGCGAGCUUCAUUGAAUUCCUCCAAGAGCUCUGUACUCUGUUCUGAUCAUUUUGAAGAUGCUUGCUUUGACCUGGGCAGACGAUACGUCUUAAACAGGAUGCUGUCCCAACCAUAUUUGAUUUCCCGCCUUGUCUUCAGAAGAAUUCACCCAAGCCAAGGUAUUUCCCAAAAGACUUUUCGAUUCAGCAAACAACCUCCCAGAUACUGCAAAGACACCAGUGCCAAAGUCUUCAGCACCUUAAUUUCUCGAAGACCACUCCUACUGAAUACCAGAAAGUCCAAGAGGGGUAAAGUGGAAGUCAACAACAAUAAUGGACUGUAUUAAAACUUGGAGAAGAGGCUGAAAACCACACAGAAGUCCUACCUUAUACAUUACUUGCUUUUAAGUUUGGACAAACAUUGAUUUGCACAACUUUACAACAAAAAAUUUACGCUGUGUGGAUUCUGAUUAUUUAAAAUAGCUCAAUGAAAACGUUUAUCACUGGGCAUGUAACAAAAAUGAAUUCAUUGAAUUUGAAGAUGUCUUACAGUAUAUUCAUUCUGAUUUGAAUGUCAGAAGAGAAAAAAGUUUGUGAAAAGUAGGAAUGACGGCAAGCUGACAGAAGAAUAGAAUACAUGUAGGAUAGAACAAGGCCACAGUUAUAAAUGAGCUGUUGGAUAGAGACAAAAAGAUGAAUUAAGAAUGGGGGUGAUAGAGAAAUAGAGACAGGAAUUGGGGAGCCUGUGAUGAAUGCCUGAGAAAGUAAAAAUUACCAUAUUUUAUUUUUUUAAGGAUUUGAACAGUC
rnacentral:lncRNA from 1 species